GUCGAGGUCGAGUGGAAGUCCGCGGUGCGGCUUGUGCGCCAAGGUGGUAAUUGGGUCACAAGUUAUUGGUUUAACCAAAAUGCAGGAGAUUCAGAAUUUUGGUAGUGGUAGAUCGAGGUCGACUUUGAAAACCUUUAGAUUCGGACAUCAGAGCGGACUUACGUGUUCGGUAAGUCGCGGCACGGCCACGUGCAGCUCUGGAACCUGAGCCCCCGCGCAUGUGGGCCGUGAGCCAUCUGGGAAACGUUCGGUGUACCUGGGACUCCUGUGAAGACGGUCAUUAGUCCUGCUGUCGGUGCUAUGGACCAUCUUGAGUCUACUAUGUUUAGUGCCUUAGCACUCUAAAAAUGGCCAGUUUGAUCAGAUGGAAGGUGAACUCAUUGUACUGAUGGUUGAUGAAAAACAUCACAAGAUACCAAGAAAUCCAAAGUGAUAAUGAGUGAAGUCUUUAUGCAGCAUCCUGCAGUGGAUCAUGACAUGUUUAAAGCUUAGUUGGGUAAAUGGGUAUUUCACCUGUUCUGGAAACUAUCGGUGCACUAUGUUCAGUAUAGGCCUAAAUUUUUAAAUUAAUAUUUAAGGUGUUUCCUUGAUGUGAUUAAAUAAAGUGCUUCAUUGA